CAGCAGUCGCCGCGGUAAAACGUAGGUGGCAAGCGUUGUCCGGAAUUAUUGGGCGUAAAGGGCUCGCAGGCGGUUUCUUAAGUCUGAUGUGAAAGCCCCCGGCUCAACCGGGGAGGGUCAUUGGAAACUGGGAAACUUGAGUGCAGAAGAGGAGAGUGGAAUUCCACGUGUAGCGGUGAAAUGCGUAGAGAUGUGGAGGAACACCAGUGGCGAAGGCGACUCUCUGGUCUGUAACUGACGCUGAGGAGCGAAAGCGUGGGGAGCGAACAGGAUUAGAUACCCCUGUAGUCCCUGUCUCUUAUAA
rnacentral:rRNA from 1 species